rnacentral:rRNA from 1 species
GACGAACGCUGGCGGCGUGCUUAACACAUGCCAGUCGAACGGAAAGGCCUCUUUCGGGGGGUACUCGAGUGGCGAACGGGUGAGUAACACGUGAGUAACCUGCCCUUGACUUUGGGAUAACUUCAGGAAACUGGGGCUAAUACCGGAUAGGAGCUCCUGCUGCAUGGUGGGGGUUGGAAAGUUUCGGCGGUUGGGGAUGGACUCGCGGCUUAUCAGCUUGUUGGUGGGGUAGUGGCUUACCAAGGCUUUGACGGGUAGCCGGCCUGAGAGGGUGACCGGCCACAUUGGGACUGAGGUACGGCCCAGACUCCUACGGGAGGCAGCAGUGGGGAAUAUUGCACAAUGGGUGGAAGCCUGAUGCAGCAACGCCGUGUGCGGGAUGACGGCCUUCGGGUUGUAAACCGCUUUCGCUCAUGACGAAGCUUUGUGUGACGGUAGUGGGUAAAGAAGCACCGGCUAACUACGUG